AUGGCAAGCUACCACCGGGUCCACCCGGUGAUCGUCGACGGCGCGCCGCCCCCGGUGCCAGAGCAAAACAAGGAUAAGCUGCCACGGCCACCCAGCGCCGACUAUGGCGACCGGCUGCCGAUCACCGCCCCGGCACCUGGCGCGGCGGCCCCGCUGCGCGCGCCGCGGCGGAAGCGGCACAACAGGUGCUGCCGGUGCGUGUGCUGCACGCUGCUGGUGCUGAUCGUGCUCAUCGUCGCGCUCGGCGCCACGGCGGGGAUCCUCUACGCCGUGUUCCGGCCCAAGAUCCCCACGUUCCGCGUGGAGCGCCUCACGGCCACCCGGUUCGACGUGAACACCACCUCCAUGACGGUGUCCGACGCGUUCGAGGUGCAGGUGGUCGCCGAGAACCCGAACCGGCGCAUCGGGGUGUACUACGACGGCGGCUGGGUCGCCGCCUCGUUCAACGGCACGGAGCUGUGCCGCGGUGCGUUCCCGGCGCUCUACCAGGGCCACCGCAGCACGGUGCGGCCGCUGAUCACGCUCCAGGGGGAGACGAGGCUCGACAGCGCCGUGGCCGCGCAGCUGGCGCAGCAGCGGCAGGCCGGGUUCGUGCCGCUCACGGUCACCGCGCGCGUGCCGAUCCGGAUCAAGUUUGGCGCCCUCAAGCUGUGGAAGAUGACGGGGAAGGCCACGUGUAGCCUGGUGGUGGACAGCCUCGAGGCCGGGACGCGGCUCCGCAUCCGCUCCAACAGCUGCACCUUCAAGCUCAAGCCUAAUUAG
rnacentral:rRNA from 1 species